GGGAGUUGAGGGAGUAGAGACAGAGAAAGGCAGGGCAGGGUGUGUGUGGAUAGAGGAGUAGAGGCUGGCCAUGAGCAUGAGGAGAGAGGGGGGGAAGGGGAUGGGGUAAGGGGUGAGAGCAAGAAGGCAAGAGAGAGGGGAGGGGGCAAGCAGCCCCUUUUGUAGUGAGUCAGGCACACCUGGCUGUUGCCAGGUAACUGGGGCAGAGCCUAGACAAAAAGCCAACAGACUGGAGAGUAUAUUAGUCUCUAGUUGUUGCUACCACACCCUGCAAACUUAGUACUUGAAACCAGCAUGGGAGUGUUGACUCACAGUCCUGGAUGUCAGAGACUGAAACCAGUGUCACUGGGCUAAAGUUGAGGCAGAGGCCCAGAGGAGACACACUACCACUACCUUAAGAGUGGGAUCACAGAGCCUUCCACACAGCUGUGGGCAGAUGACAGCUCAUGUAUCUGAGUGGGCUGUCAUCAACCUCUUCCCAUGCUUGUUGCUGCCUGUCACUUGGUAACUCUCCCUUGGAGAACUGCACAUUGUGUGGUGAAAAGCUCGAUGAAUUCCCAGCAUUCCUCUCCGUAGCAGCCGAGUUUUGUCAAGCUUGGGACUGGUGAUUGAUCGGGACACUUGGGAAAACUGCAACAAACCAGUCUUGACCACAUUUGUCUGCUGUGGCAUGUUCUGUUGCCGGCAGCUGGAGAUGCCGGGAUAAUAGGAAGAUGACAUCUGUAUCCGUUGAAAUGCCAUGACCAAAAGCAACUUAAGGAAAUUUACUUUGACUUAUGAUCCAUAACGGUAAUGAAUGCAUGGCGGGAGAUAGACAGUGUGGAAAGCUGAGGUUGUGUCUCAACCACACAGGGAGCAGAGAGAGGAAGAGGGAACCGAGACACAGCUAUACACUCUCAAAGCUCGCCCCUUGUCAUGGACUUCUGAGAGCAAAGCUCUACCAUCUAAAGGUUCUAUAACCUCCACAAACAGACUAUUAACUGAGAACUACCGAGUGUUCACAUACCCAUGUCUGUGGUAUUGUUUUAUGACUUACUGGGUGAUUUUCAGGGACAGUAUUCCCAAAAGUAUGUGAUUAGGAGACUCAGGCCAUACAUUAGCCAAUCUUGUGGUUUCUAAUUGUAGCAGGCUUUGGGACCCAGAAGGAAGGUCAUUCUCAGCUCAGUGUUCUUUGUUCUUGUAACUUGGUGCUCCUCUGGCUUUCUGUAUCUGGUGAUGGGUGGAUGUCACUGGUCUUGGUGUGAUUUUGGCUUUCUGUAUCUGGUGAUGGGUGGAUGUCACUGGUCUUGGUGCUCCUCUGGCUUUCUGUAUCUGGUGAUGGGCGCUACCUUAUGUACAGCUCCUGUCCUGGUGCAGAUCUCGCUAUGGUUGUCUGUGGGGUGGAAGAGAAGAUGGCACCGUGUAGGUGGAAGCCAGGAUGCAGUCCAGAUGGUAAAGGCAAGGAAACAGACUUUCCUCUGGGGUCUCCAGAAGGAACACUGAAGCCCUGCAUCCCGACGUGGACUUUCUCAUGCCCAGAAUUAUAUCACAAGAUGUGUACAGUGGCUGAAGCAAUUCCAUCUGUGGAAAACUGUCAGGGCAGCCAUAGGAAAUGGAUGCAACAUGGAGCUGUCAUGCCUGUUGGUGGAGCAAUGGUGGAAAGAAGCCUCUUAGAGUCGUGGGAGGUGGGAGGGCCAGGGAAGGAGAAGGGUCAGUGAGAUGGGAACCGUACCUCACUCCAUAUGCCCUGUACCUCACCUGACAGCAUAAACAAAAGUUACACACUUGCAGAAUGUUAAAGACAGCAAGGAUGCUUCUACCAGGAUAUACAGAAGAGGGCAAAAACGAGGCAUCAAAUGGCGCUGUGAAGGGCCACUUAAACAGUAAAGGGUGUGCUCAAAUAUUUUACAUCGUAACAGUCUUCACAGAAAACAUAAAUCUUCCU
rnacentral:lncRNA from 1 species